UACAUUCUGAAAAGGAUGCUAAUACCGCAUGACAUAUCGGAACCACAUGGUUCUGAUAUCAAAGAUUUUAUCGCUUGAAGAUGGACUCGCGUCCGAUUAGUUAGUUGGUGAGGUAACGGCUCACCAAGACCGCGAUCGGUAGCCGGACUGAGAGGUUGAACGGCCACAUUGGGACUGAGACACGGCCCAGACUCCUACGGGAGGCAGCAGUGGGGGAUAUUGCGCAAUGGGGGCAACCCUGACGCAGCAACGCCGCGUGAAGGAUGAAGGUUUUCGGAUUGUAAACUUCUUUUAUUAAGGACGAAAAAUGACGGUACUUAAUGAAUAAGCUCCGGCUAACUACGUGCCAGCAGCCGCGGUAAUACGUAGGGAGCAAGCGUUGUCCGGAUUUACUGGGUGUAAAGGGUGCGUAGGCGGCUUUGCAAGUCAGAUGUGAAAUCUAUGGGCUCAACCCAUAAACUGCAUUUGAAACUGUAGAGCUUGAGUGAAGUAGAGGCAGGCGGAAUUCCCCGUGUAGCGGUGAAAUGCGUAGAGAUGGGGAGGAACACCAGUGGCGAAGGCGGCCUGCUGGGCUUUAACUGACGCUGAGGCACGAAAGCGUGGGUAGCAAACAGGAUUAGAUACCCUGGUAGUCCACGCUGU
rnacentral:rRNA from 1 species